ACUCUGUUUAUUUUUUUUUGUUACAUAUUGUUUUUAAGCUGCUGAAAUAUUGUUUAUUUUAGUAUUUUAGUAGCUGAAUUUAAGAUAGAAUGAGCGGAAAUGAUGAUGAUUAUGAAAAUGAUGAUUUUUUUGGACAUUUGAGUUGGAAUAUGUUUCUUUAUGUUAGGUUUGAACCAUUAAUGAAUAUAGUUUAUGAUUUUAAGACUCGUAACAAGUAAUUUCAUGAAUUUUAUGGUUUUAUUGUAUCAUUUAAUUUUAAUUUUGUAUUAAUAUUUUAGGUAUUGAUUAUAUUCUUUAGGUUGUGGAUCGAAUUGGCAAGGAGCAUUGCAAAGUUAAUUAAGUUGAUUAUUAAUUGCAAGAGGUUAGCCAAUAAAAUUAUAUAGUUUGAUGUUGGUGUUGUGCCUGGUGCUUAUUUAUUUCGUCCUAACUAUGCGAUUCUUACUAUACGAGAGGCUAUUGGUUCAACAGUUGCAUGGCCUUCUCAAAAGGUUAUUCCAAGAGAUUCAACAAGUGAAGUGCAAAAGAAAAUCUGAUUUGGAAGGCUUUGGUGUGCUGACAUUUGGAAGAUUAUGAAUUCCUACCUUUACUUUUGAAUAUGCAACUACUUAAGACUAUUUUUUUGACUAUUGUGGGAAUGUUUUGUUUAUGUUAAUUAAGCAGUGUUGAAUAUUUUCAGACUUUUGUAUUGUUUUUUAGAUAAUCUUGAAUGUAUUUUGACA